CAGUCGCCGCGGGAAUACGUAGGGUGCAAGCGUUAAUCGGAAUUACUGGGCGUAAAGCGUGCGCAGGCGGUUAUAUAAGACAGAUGUGAAAUCCCCGGGCUCAACCUGGGAACUGCAUUUGUGACUGUAUAGCUAGAGUACGGCAGAGGGGGAUGGAAUUCCGCGUGUAGCAGUGAAAUGCGUAGAUAUGCGGAGGAACACCGAUGGCGAAGGCAAUCCCCUGGGCCUGUACUGACGCUCAUGCACGAAGGCGUGGGGAGCAAACAGGAUUAGAUACCCCUGUAGUCCCUGUCUCUUAUAC
rnacentral:rRNA from 1 species